rnacentral:lncRNA from 1 species
AUGAGAAACCACACAACGAUUACAGAGUUUGUACUCUUGGGCAUAUCAGACAGCCCAGAGCUUCAGAUUGUAAUUUUUAUCUUUUUAUUUAUAACUUAUGUAUUAAGCAUAACUGACAAUUUAACCAUCAUCAUCCUUACCUUGACAGACUCUAGUCUAAAGACUCCUAUGUAUUACUUCCUCCGGAAUUUCUCCUUUUCAGAAAUUACAUUCACCAGUGUUUCCAUCCCCAAAUUUUUGGGGGCAAUUAUUACUAAGGUCAAGACCAUUUCCUAUAACAACUGUUUAGCUCAAUUAUUUUUCUUCAUCUUCAUGGGUGCGUCUGAAUUUUUUCUUCUAGCUGCAAUGUCUUAUGAUCGUUAUGUGGCCAUCUGCAAGCCUCUCCACUACACCACCAUCAUGAACAAGAAAAUUUGCACCCUGCUUGUCUUUAAGUUCAUGGCUGGGAGGAUUUCUGACCAUUUUUCCACCACUCACGCUUAUCCUCAAAUUAGAUUUUUGUGCUUCCAAUGUCAUUGAUCACUUCUCCUGUGAGUAUUUCCCCAUUUUACAACUCUCAUGCUCAGACAUAUGGCUUUUAGAGAUUAUUGGUUUUUACUUUGCCUUUGUUACUCUGCUGAUCACCUUGGCAUUAGUAAUUCUGUCCUACGUAUGCAUCAUUUGCACUAUUCUGAGAAUCCCAUGUGCCAGUCAGAGGAACUUACUCCUCUCAUAUGAUCGUCAUCUCCAUCUCUUAUGGAAGCUGCAUAUUCAUGUAUGUCAAGCCUUCAGCAAAAGAAAGAGCAUCAUUGACCAAAGGAGUAGCUAUUCUGAACACUUCAAUUGCCCCCAUGCUGAACCCUUCUAUUUACACCCUGAGAAACCAGCAAGUAAAACAAGCUUUUAAAGAUUUGGCUCACAAAGUAGUGUUUUAUAGAAACAAA